GGGUGACCCGUUUAUGUGUUUUCUUUCAAUCCCACAGACCUAUGCCCGAUAUUCACACACUGGUGGCACAGGCGCCGACAUCUGGAGGUCACACCGAGAUCGGGAAAGAGAGGACAAACUGAUGGGAUCCUUCCAAAAGGCCGGCCGGCAAGGAAGCAGAAUGUAUUGGGGACAAGCGGCGACCAUGGGGCAAAACUGGAAAAAUAUGUAGGAGUCAACAGUGGUCAUCCCUGCAUCGUCUUCAACAAGCAGGAGCACGUGGCAGAUGAUGUCACCCUAUUGUCAUACAAAACUGAAGUCACCAAUGUUCAUACACACCUAUGAAGGAGAACAGCUGCUGAGAACACAGCCUCCUGAGUCACCCUGUUCUGUCCUGAAGUCAAGAAGCCCACAAUUUCAUUUUCUGAAUCCAUUAAAUCAUGAGCUUAUUUCACUUAUCGAAGGAAAAGAAAUCAUACCAAAAGUACUGGUAUGAAUUCAUGCAACUUUUACAAAAUUCUUGAAAGUGAGAUUAUGUUAUUUCAAGUUUGUCACUCCUUUCUCUUUCACAGUAAAAGCAAGCACAAUAUUUUAUAUUGGAGAUGAGUCUUUGGACACUUCUAAUUCUCUUCAAAGAAAAAAAAAACUUAGUAAUUUUCCUACAAAAACCUGACUUGAUCAUUUUAAAAGUGAAUUAUUAGAUAUGCAAUCCUUAGUAAAAGUGUCCAUGAUGGAAAUAUAUUAAGCUGGCCUAAUAU
rnacentral:lncRNA from 1 species